rnacentral:rRNA from 1 species
GACGAACCGUGCGAACGUUGUUCGGAUUCACUGGGCUUAAAGGGCGCGUAGGCGGGCCAUCAAGUCAGGGGUGAAAUCUUUCGGCUCAACCGGAAAAGUGCCUUUGAUACUGGUGGCCUCGAGGGAGGUAGGGGCAUGCGGAACUUCCGGUGGAGCGGUGAAAUGCGUAGAUAUCGGAAGGAACACCGGUGGCGAAGGCGGCUUCCUGGACCGACACUGACGCUGAGGCGCGAAAGCUAGGGGAGCAAACGGG